rnacentral:rRNA from 1 species
AGAGUUUGAUCCUGGCUCAGAACGAACGCUGGCGGCAGGCUUAACACAUGCAAGUCGAACGAUGUAGCAAUACAUAGUGGCGCACGGGUGAGUAACGCGUGGGAACGUGCCCUUUAGUAUGGGAUAACCACUGGAAACGGUGGCUAAUACCAUAUACGCCCUUCGGGGGAAAGAUUUAUCGCUAAAGGAUCGGCCCGCGUUAGAUUAGGUAGUUGGUGGGGUAAUGGCCUACCAAGCCUACGAUCUAUAGCUGGUCUGAGAGGAUGAUCAGCCACACUGGAACUGAGACACGGUCCAGACUCCUACGGGAGGCAGCAGUGGGGAAUAUUGGACAAUGGGCGAAAGCCUGAUCCAGCCAUGCCGCGUGUGUGAUGAAGGCCUUAGGGUUGUAAAGCACUUUUACCAGGGAAGAUGAUGACGGUACCUGGAGAAUAAGCACCGGCUAACUUCGUGCCAGCCGCCGCGGUAAUAC